ensembl:lncRNA
UUGAAGCUUUCCCCUGUGAACCUGGAAUCUUCUGAUAUGGAUGACACAGCUUAAAACCAGGAACAUCAAGUAAAAUAACUACUGCUGAGAGGGAAUAAAAGUUGGCAGAUGAGUUUCUGCCUGAAACCAGAGGUAUGGUGCAAAUCCUCGGUUGCUGUGAACUGCUUUAGCCCAGCUGGAAAAGAAGCCACAGACACAAGAGUGCCCUUAAGACCUUCUAUCCACCCUGUCAAUCAAAUGAAUCGCCACAAUCCUGGGUAUGCAUGCAAACAUCAUCAGUGAAACAAAUAGAUGUGCUUCAGCACCACGAGGAGGAACCAGGAUCCUGCCAUUCCACAGUCCUGGCAAUACAGAUUCUCAUAUGGAUUCUGCCACCAUGGCAGCUGGGUUGCCAUAGGUCUCCAAGCACUGUGUUCGAGGCCUGGGAUGGGGAAAGGGCUACAGACCGUGGAAUCACCGCUGAUGGAAAGAACUCUCCAGAUCAUCAACUUCAGCCACCAACAUGAUCUGCCACGUACCUCUUACUACACAAUUAGAGCAGAUACAUAGGAGUAAGAGUUGAAGUAACCUUGUGUGACCUUGUGUGCACUGUACUUGCUAACUUGUCGUAUGCGCUGUACUCCUCUGCUUACAGUCGAGAUCCUUUUGAAAGAUGGGGUGUUAUUUCCAUGCUCCAGAAAGUCCACAAAGCAAGCUUCCAGCUCAGGAGCACCGAGCUUUGGGAAGCUUCAAGCCUUGGGUUUCUAAACCGUGUGCAUCAAAGAGACGCAGCAACGACUGAAAAGCACAGUGCUGUCUGUGGAAGAACUGAGACCUGGGAAGCAGCAUGGGCUGUACCUGACGUGCAGGUUUUAACUUCUGGUCACAGUGAGGGCUCACCACAGUCAUGACCUUCAUUACAAAACCCUCCCUGUCUUUACGGUCAGGUUCUAUUAAUUCCCUAUGCUGUAUUUCACAGAUGAUUUCAGUUAGGAAGAUUUCCUAGGAAAUCAUUAGGCGAUUUCGGAGGAAAGCAACGACUUUCCCCUUCCCUGCUGCCAUCUUUCCCCUCCCUGCGGCUAUUAAUUUGGGUCGCU